AUUGAACGCUGGCGGCAUGCCUUACACAUGCAAGUCGAACGGCAGCACGGGUGCUUGCCCCUGGUGGCGAGUGGCGAACGGGUGAGUAAUACAUCGGAACAUGUCCUGUAGUGGGGGAUAGCCCGGCGAAAGCCGGAUUAAUACCGCAUACGAUCUACGGAUGAAAGCGGGGGACCUUCGGGCCUCGCGCUAUAGGGUUGGCCGAUGGCUGAUUAGCUAGUUGGUGGGGUAAAGGCCUACCAAGGCGACGAUCAGUAGCUGGUCUGAGAGGACGACCAGCCACACUGGGACUGAGACACGGCCCAGACUCCUACGGGAGGCAGCAGUGGGGAAUUUUGGACAAUGGGCGAAAGCCUGAUCCAGCAAUGCCGCGUGUGUGAAGAAGGCCUUCGGGUUGUAAAGCGCUUUUGUCCGGAAAGAAAUCCUUGGCCCUAAUACGGUCGGGGGAUGACGGUACCGGAAGAAUAAGCACCGGCUAACUACGUG
rnacentral:rRNA from 1 species